rnacentral:rRNA from 1 species
UGACGGAGCAACGCCGCGUGAGUGAUGAAGGUUUUCGGAUCGUAAAGCUCUGUUGUUAGGGAAGAACAAGUGCAAGAGUAACUGCUUGCACCUUGACGGUACCUAACCAGAAAGCCACGGCUAACUACGUGCCAGCAGCCGCGGUAAUACGUAGGUGGCAAGCGUUGUCCGGAAUUAUUGGGCGUAAAGGGCUCGCAGGCGGUUUCUUAAGUCUGAUGUGAAAGCCCCCGGCUCAACCGGGGAGGGUCAUUGGAAACUGGGAAACUUGAGUGCAGAAGAGGAGAGUGGAAUUCCACGUGUAGCGGUGAAAUGCGUAGAGAUGUGGAGGAACACCAGUGGCGAAGGCGACUCUCUGGUCUGUAACUGACGCUGAGGAGCGAAAGCGUGGGGAGCGAACAGGAUUAGAUACCCUGGUAGUCCACGCCGUAAACGAUGAGUGCUAAGUGUUAGGGGGUUUCCGCCCCUUAGUGCUGCAGCUAACGCAUUAAGCACUCCGCCUGGGGAGUACGGUCGCAAGACUGAAACUCAAAGGAAUUGACGGGGGCCCGCACAAGCGGUGGAGCAUGUGGUUUAAUUCGAAGCAACGCGAAGAACCUUACCAGGUCU